GAAUGAACGCUGGUGGCAGACCUAACACAUGCAAGUCGAACGGUCUAUAUUAAACUUACGGUUUUUAUUAGAUAGUGGCAAACGGGUGAGUAAAGCGAUGGGAAUCUACCUAGAAGUUUGGAAUAGCGUAUUAGAAAUGAUUAGAUAACUACCAAAUACACCUCGAGAGGGAAAGUUGACUUACGGUCUUACGUCUUUUAGAUUGAGCCCGAUGUUAAAUUAGUUAGUUGGUAGGGUAAUGGCCUACCAAGAUGAUGAUUUAUAGCUGGUCUUAGAGGAUUGAUCAGCCACACUGGAAUUGAGAUACGGUCCAGACUCCUACGGGAGCAGCGAGUGGGGAAUAUUGGACGAA
rnacentral:rRNA from 1 species